rnacentral:piRNA from 1 species
UCCAGGUGACCCUAACGACUCAGGAAUGGGA